GUCAGGAUGGCCGAGUGGUCUAAGGCGCCAGACUCAAGUUCUGGUCCACAAUUGUGGGCGUGGGUUCGAACCCCACUCCUGACA
rnacentral:tRNA from 1 species